rnacentral:rRNA from 1 species
CAGUAGCCGCGGUAAUACGAAGGGUGCAAGCGUUACUCGGAAUUACUGGGCGUAAAGCGUGCGUAGGUGGUGGUUUAAGUCCGUUGUGAAAGCCCUGGGCUCAACCUGGGAAUUGCAGUGGAUACUGGGUCACUAGAGUGUGGUAGAGGAUAGUGGAAUUUCCGGUGUAGCAGUGAAAUGCGUAGAGAUCGGAAGGAACAUCUGUGGCGAAGGCGACUAUCUGGGCCAACACUGACACUGAGGCACGAAAGCGUGGGGAGCAAACAGGAUUAGAUACCCGCGUAGUCCCUGUCUCUUAUAA